rnacentral:pre_miRNA from 3 species
CGGGGUUUUGAGGGCGAGAUGAGUUUGUGUUUUAUCCAACUGGCCCACAAAGUCCCGCU